CAAGCGUUGUCCGGAAUUAUUGGGCGUAAAGGGUGCGUAGGCGGUUUUUUAAGUGGGAUGUGAAAUACCUAGGGCUUAACUUAGGGAAUGGCAUUCCAAACUGGAAGACUAGAGUGCAGGAGAGGAAAGUGGAAUUCCCAGUGUAGCGGUGAAAUGCGUAGAGAUUGGGAGGAACACCAGUGGCGAAGGCGACUUUCUGGACUGUAACUGACGCUGAGGCACGAAAGCGUGGGGAGC
rnacentral:rRNA from 1 species